GGUGAAUGCUGGCGGCGUGGAUAAGUCAUGCAAGUCAAGGGGGCCCGCAAGGGCAACCGGCAAACGAGGUAGUAACACGUAGGUAGACCCCCCAGAGUCGGGCAUAGCCAGCCGAAAGGUUGGGUAAUUCCCGAUAGUCCCGAAACGGGUAAAGGUUUUUCGUCUCUGGGAGUUGCCUGCGUAGUAUCAGCUAGUUGGUAGGGUAAUGGCCUACCAAGGCUACGACGCUUAGGGGAGCUGAGAGGCUGACCCCCACCGAUGGAACUGCGACACGGUCCAUACUCCUACGGGAGGCUGCAGACGAGAAUAUUCCGCAAUGGGCGAAAGCCUGACGGAGCGACGCCGCGUGAUUGAUGAAGUGCUUCGGUACGUAAAGAUCUUUUAUCGGGGGACGAAGUUUAUUGACGGUACCCGAUGAAUAAGGGGCUCCUAACUCUGUGCCAGCAGCCGCGGUAAU
rnacentral:rRNA from 1 species